GAUGAACGCUGGCGGCGUGCCUAAUACAUGCAAGUCGAGCGAACAGAUAAGGAGCUUGCUUCUUUGACGUUAGCGGCGGGCGGGUGAGUAACACGUGGGUAACCUACCUAUAAGACUGGGAUAACUUCGGGAAACCGGAGCUAAUACCGGAUAAUAUUUCGAACCGCAUGGUUCGAUAGUGAAAGAUGGUUUUGCUAUCACUUAUAGAUGGACCCGCGCCGUAUUAGCUAGUUGGUAAGGUAACGGCUUACCAAGGCGACGAUACGUAGCCGACCUGAGAGGGUGAUCGGCCACACUGGAACUGAGACACGGUCCAGACUCCUACGGGAGGCAGCAGUAGGGAAUCUUCCGCAAUGGGCGAAAGCCUGACGGAGCAACGCCGCGUGAGUGAUGAAGGUCUUCGGAUCGUAAAACUCUGUUAUUAGGGAAGAACAUACGUGUAAGUAACUGUGCACGUCUUGACGGUACCUAAUCAGAAAGCCACGGCUAACUACGUG
rnacentral:rRNA from 1 species